rnacentral:rRNA from 1 species
AGAGAGAGACAUGCGCGCAUAUCAAUAAGCGGAGGAAAAGAAACUAACUAGGAUUCCCUCAGUAACGGCGAGUGAAGCGGGAAGAGCUCAAAUUUGAAAUCUUCAGGGUUCUACCUUGACGAAUUGUAGUUUAAAGAAGUGUUUUCUGUUGGAGUUUUGGUAAAAGUUCUUUGGAAUAGGACAUCAUAGAGGGUGAGAAUCCCGUAUUUGACUCAUUAUUUUCCAGCUGUGUGAUACACUUUCAAAGAGUCGGAUUGUUUGGGAAUGCAGUCCAAAAUGGGUGGUAAAUUUCAUCUAAAGCUAAAUAUUGGCGAGAGACCGAUAGCGAGCAAGUACCGUGAGGGAAAGAUGAAAAGAACUUUGAAAAGAGAGUUAAACAGUACGUGAAAUUGUCAAAAGGGAAGCGUUUGACACCAGUGUUGUUUUUCUGAAAAUCAAUUAAAGAACUGUUUAUGCUAAGCUGUUUAGACUUUAUCAGCUAUCUGUUUAGUUUUGAGCUUUUCUUUAACGCACUUUUCAGUUAACAAGUCAACAUCAAUUUCUUUUGCUGUAAAAAAGCUUGAGGAAGGUGGCUUGAGAUUCGUCUUAAGUGUUUAUAGCCUCUUGCCUAUGCAGUCGGAGAGAUUGAGGUCUGCAGCGUAGAUCCUUCGGGGUUAGAUACAUUUGUGCUAAGUUAUAGCCUUUCAUAGACAACUUGUUGACUAUGAUCAGUCAUGUAGCUUACUCGCUUAUGCUAUUUUACCUACGCUUAGGAUGUUGAUGUGAUACUGCGAGCA